GGCCCCCCAUGAUGGCAGCACUGGGCUCUGAACCCCCUGGCGGCGCCUGUGCCCCCAGGGACUCCUUGACACCCCGAGGGAGCGCUGAGGGGGCC